rnacentral:sRNA from 1 species
AGCAGCCCCGGUGGCCGAAUGGGUAAUACGGCCACCUGGUAGUGCCUUGGUAUGGGGACCCAAGACACAUGGGUUCGAAACCCGCAGGGGACAACAUUACAUCCAAAGCCAACUUCUCAGCUCCUAAAAUAAUGAGAUGUGAACUUGCCAAGUAGGUACCUUUGAGUGGACCUACUACCUGAUUUAGCUGAUUUUUCCUGGGCUGGGAACCUGUAUUGCAUGUAUCAAUCCUGUCUCUCAUUUGAUUUUCCUAUAUUCUAGUUAUAUCUUGGCGCAUUUUCAACAUUAGCAUUCCUCCUGUAUAACCAACUCUUGCCUGUAUUUAACAUCACACAAGGACUCAUCAUAAGUACUGCUUGCACAUGAGUAUAAGAAAGAAUAAUAAUAAUAAUAAUACUGAA